rnacentral:tRNA from 2 species
GCGGGAGUAACUCAGUGGUAGAGUGCAACCUUGCCAAGGUUGAAGUCGCGGGUCCGAAUCCCGUCUCCCGCUCCA